AGCAGCAGCCGCGGUAAAACGAAGGGUGCAAGCGUUAAUCGGAAUUACUGGGCGUAAAGCGUGCGUAGGCGGUUUGUUAAGUCUGCUGUGAAAUCCCCGGGCUCAACCUGGGAAUGGCAGUGGAUACUGGCAAGCUAGAGUGUGUCAGAGGAUGGUGGAAUUCCCGGUGUAGCGGUGAAAUGCGUAGAGAUCGGGAGGAACAUCAGUGGCGAAGGCGGCCAUCUGGGACAACACUGACGCUGAGGCACGAAAGCGUGGGGAGCAAACAGGAUUAGAUACCCCCGUAGUCCCUGUCUCUUAUAC
rnacentral:rRNA from 1 species